UACGUAGGGUGCAAGCGUUGCCCGGAUUUAUUGGGCGUAAAGCGCGUGUAGGCGGCCAGAUAGGUCUGCUGUGAAAACUCGAGGCUCAACCUCGAGCUGUCGGCGGAAACCAUCUGGCUAGAGUCCGGAAGAGGAGAGUGGAAUUCCUGGUGUAGCGGUGAAAUGCGCAGAUAUCAGGAAGAACACCUAUGGCGAAGGCAGCUCUCUGGGACGGUACUGACGCUGAGACGCGAAAGCGUGGGGAGCGAACAGG
rnacentral:rRNA from 1 species